CUUCUCCUUUUACUUCAGUUCCGUUCUUUGUGUUUAAUAUUUUUUUUUAGUUUGUUUUAUGUAGAUUCCAGCAUGUUAGUUAAGGUUUAGUUAUCUAAUUUCAAUAGGAAUAUGAGUUAGUCGUAGCUUUGUUUCGAUUUUAUGUGAAUGCAUAUAUCUUUCGCGCCUUUAUUGAGCUUAUUUCUCUUUUCUUCGAACUUGCGAAGUAUGAACCAUUUACAGGUUUGGUACCCUGUCUGUUCAAAAAAUGAGUUAGUUUAAGAGGAUUAACUCAAAGUAUAGGCUGCUAGAUGAUAUGCCUUAGUUUUUUUUUCCAGAGUACAUAGGAGUUUAGUUUUACAUUAUAGUUUUUUUUUUCAUUUGAAUCUGCUCUUGUCUUCCAUUAAAUGGUUAGCCAUUAGUUGUUCUUUAGUAGUUUAAGAGAGUAUGCUUCUUUUUCCUGAAAUUUUGAUCUGAAAUGGUUGAUAAUAGCUGCUGCUAAUAUGAUUUUCUAAAUCUAUAGUAUAAAGUUCAUUUAGGCCUUAUGAUUAAACAUAUCAUGUUGCGGGGAUUAAGUUAGGCAGAGGUUAAGCUAACAAUUGAUGUAUGGGCUUUCUAUUUUUAAACAUUAUCAAGUCAGUAAUUUUAUAUUAAUGUAAAUAGGUUGAAUCUUCCAUUCGAAACUCAAUCUCCAUGAUCAUUUAGUUUAGAAUUAUUAUUAGUAUAGUUAGCCAAAUUCUCAAACUGGUCUGCUUCCUAUCUUGAACAAUGUUGUCAUCUUUCCUUUCCUAUCUGUUUUUCCUUUAAGGUAAUAUGAGAAUGAAUUUGCUUUCGGUUAAGUUGUUUUCUUUAAUAUUGUGAUAAAAUGAGGUGAUCCACUCUUCAUUUGAAGUCGUACUCUAUUUUCUGGGAAACAUUUGUUGUUGGUUAAGAUAGAGGCCGAUCUUGCCCUUUAGUAUGCGUUUAACUUAAGAUAUGAUAUGCGAAAUUACUUGGUUCUUACACAUCGAUCUUUCUUAAGUUUGCCUCUAUUUUCAGAAUGUUUGGUUUGGUUAAAUUGAUCUGCUCGGAACUCUUGUUUUGAACGUGAUUGAGUAAUAACCAGGAGAGUCUAGAUGUUGUUCAAAUGUUUCUUUUUCCGAAUUAGUGACUAAGUUUCAAUUUGCUAAGUUUAGAAGGAUCUUUCUGUUGAGGUUUUUGUCACUAAUUUAAAUCAGCUAGCUAAGUUCAACAAUGUUUCCUUCCCAGUUUUUUCUUCAUUGUCCUGUUUUAAGGAAGUGUGAUUAUGGUUUAAUGUGAUCUUCCAGAGUCUUUUUCCCUUAUUAUGAGUUUCUGGGAAUGUUUUUGCUUAAGAAACUAAUGUGUUUAAAUUAACUGUUUGCUGUCCUUUGUUUGCUGGAAAUGGCUGAUCAUUUU